CAAACCAAUAAAGUUUUCUUUAUUGGGGUUGAGGACAUACCACAUAUAAGAGGUCAUUAUAGACGAAGAAGUUUGGAAAAACUCAUCAUAGAAGGUAAUAAUCCUGUAGUCAAAAUAAUAAUUCUUUAGGUAUGAUCCAGAGUACCACGGGACACGUGAAACCCUGUGGGAAGCAGGAGGGACCACCCUCCAAGGCUAAAUACUACCUAGUGACCGAUAGCGUAUAGUACCG
rnacentral:rRNA from 1 species